rnacentral:rRNA from 1 species
GAUGAACGCUGGCGGCGUGCCUAAUACAUGCAAGUCGAGCGAACAGACGAGGAGCUUGCUCCUCUGACGUUAGCGGCGGACGGGUGAGUAACACGUGGAUAACCUACCUAUAAGACUGGGAUAACUUCGGGAAACCGGAGCUAAUACCGGAUAACAUGUUGAACCGCAUGGUUCAACAGUGAAAGACGGUCUUGCUGUCACUUAUAGAUGGAUCCGCGCCGCAUUAGCUAGUUGGUAAGGUAACGGCUUACCAAGGCAACGAUGCGUAGCCGACCUGAGAGGGUGAUCGGCCACACUGGAACUGAGACACGGUCCAGACUCCUACGGGAGGCAGCAGUAUGGAAUCUUCCGCAAUGGGCGAAAGCCUGACGGAGCAACGCCGCGUGAGUGAAGAAGGUCUUCGGAUCGUAAAACUCUGUUAUUAGGGAAGAACAAAUGUGUAAGUAACUAUGCACGUCUUGACGGUACCUAAUCAGAAAGCCACGGCUAACUACGU